rnacentral:rRNA from 1 species
UACGUAGGCAGCAAGCGUUGUUCGGAAUUACUGGGCGUAAAGAGUGUGUAGGCGGUGCUCUAAGUUCGGUGUGAAAUCUCCCGGCUUAACUGGGAGGGUGCGCCGGAAACUGGAGUGCUUGAGCGCGGGAGAGGAAAGCGGAAUUCCUGGUGUAGCGGUGAAAUGCGUAGAUAUCAGGAGGAACACCUGCGGUGUAGACGGCUUUCUGGACCGUAGCUGACGCUGAGACACGAAAGCGUGGGUAGCAAAC